rnacentral:rRNA from 1 species
GACGAACGCUGGCGGCGCGCCUAACACAUGCAAGUCGAACGGAGCGUACUGUGUGAAGCCCUUCGGGGCGGAACUUUGUAUUGCUUAGUGGCGAACGGGUGAGUAACACGUGAGUGACCUGCCUUACAGAGGGGGAUAACGUUUGGAAACGAACGCUAAUACCGCAUAACAUUGUUUUUUCGCAUGGAUAGACAAUCAAAGGAGUCAAAUCCGCUGAAAGAUGGGCUCGCGCCCGAUUAGAUAGUUGGUGAGGUAACGGCUCACCAAGUCAACGAUCGGUAGCCGGACUGAGAGGUUGAACGGCCACAUUGGGACUGAGACACGGCCCAGACUCCUACGGGAGGCAGCAGUGGGGGAUAUUGCACAAUGGGGGAAACCCUGAUGCAGCGACGCCGCGUGAGGGAAGAAGGUUUUCGGAUUGUAAACCUCUGUCUUUGGGGAAGAGUAGAAGACGGUACCCAAGGAGGAAGCCACGGCUAACUACGUGCCAGCCGCCGCCGUAAGAC